rnacentral:lncRNA from 1 species
ACCUUGCCCUACCCAACCCUGUCAUUAUUUCCCCUCCGACUGGGCCGGUGCCAUCGGAAACCGGAGUGACCAGAGGAGGGACACGAGACAGGGUCUUGCUGAAGACCCUGGCUAACCAGGCUGGCCUGGAACUCCUGGCCUCAAGUGAUCCUCAUGCCUUCAUCUUCCAAAGUGCUGGGAUUACAGAAGUCAGCCACGGAGGUCAGCUGACAGCUAAUUCUUAACAAUUGACAUGGUCAGAGCAAAUCGAAGGAAUUACUCACAGCUGUGCUGUGUGCAUUCUCUGUGGGCCUAGCAGGGAAGGGGACAGCCCUGUGGCAAUGGGCAUGACACGGAUGCUCCUGGAAUGCAGUCUCAGUGACAAGUUGUGUGUCAUCCAGGAGAAGCAGUAUGAAGUGAUUAUCGUCCCAACUUUGUUGGUUACUAUCUUCCUCAUCCUUCUUGGGGUCAUCCUGUGGCUUUUUAUCAGAGAACAAAGAACUCAACAGCAGCGUUCUGGACCUCAAGGCAUUGCCCCUGUUCCUCCACCUAGGGACCUAAGCUGGGAAGCAGGACAUGGAGGAAAUGUGGCUUUGCCACUUA